GGGGGUGAUCGGUUUCGACUUCGGUAGUUGAAUCAGGGGAAGCGGGCCGAGGGUUGCGACUGUGACCUCGUAAAUCCUGCAUCGCAAUAAACACAAGUGCCAAGUCUGAGCGCACUGAGCAGUUCGCUCUCGCCGCUUAAGCGAGACGUUGCUCUGUCGGUCUAGGUAAGUCUCCGACCUAGUUUCCGGCAUCGUUGAGGAGACUCACCGGUUUGGUCAGACCACGGGGCCAGAUCGGGACAUGCACGUGGUUGGGCCCGUCAGCGACAUGCCGCACGUGAGCGCUGGGGCCGAGUAGAACGUCUAGUGCGGCUGCGCCCGGAGAAGCCCUUUUUCGGUACUGAAGGACGCGGGUUCGAUUCCCGCCACCUCCACUC
rnacentral:tmRNA from 1 species